UUGCUUCUGCUACCCGCAGUGGCUUUUUGUACAGCUCUACUUUGUAAUGCUGUUUAGGAUGUUCAGAGUCAGCAAGAGCUUUGAGCUCCUACAGCUGUUUCCAGCGUGGCUCUUCAAUAAAAUAGUAGGAAAAAAAAAAAACAAAAAACGCUGAUUCUUUAAACAAUAGUGAUGUGUGACCCUCCUUUCCAGCACUUUGUCUGAAGGCUUAAAUCUUCGUGUUGGUGACUGGAGUCUGAGUGCAGGUGAGUACAGCAGAGAACUUCUUUCAGGCAGAAAGAAUCAUCUGUGCUCGGAUGCAAUAAGAUCUGCUCAACGGUUACACUGAGGUUAGCAUAAUCAUAGCUAAUUUUCUUUUUGGGUGUGCUUAGUAUAACAGUAAUUUCAAAGUUAACGUUCUGUUCACAUGUGUACAAAGCAUCUGGGACAUAGCAGUACUAGCACUGGCUAAUUUUGUUUUAAAACAUCAGUCCUACAAAGAAAGAACCAUACAUGUAGCAGCCAAGGGCUAACAGUGCUGGUUCUAUUUACAACAGUUACUAUAGUGAUAAGCAUGGUUUAGGAACCUACAUAGAAAUAGAAAUCCCCUUCUCCUGAAAUAGCUAUACACAAAAAGGAACAAACAGAGGCAGGAAAAACACCAAGUAAAGCUCUAUAAUCAGUUGUUUCCUUUGAGUAGAUGAAAACUCCUGCAUUUCCAUUCCUUUUCUGUCACUCUUUUUUGUCUUUUUAGUUUCCCUCAGUAACACCAUUGAAAAUGCCUGUCUUUAUUCUCAGCAUCCUGGAUGGCAAGUGGUGUCUCUCCCUUUUCUUCCAGUUUCCCUGCUUGGAUUCCUUAGCGUUUCCCCUCACUUUGUUUCUUGGCCUGGAUUUAGCCCACCAGUCUCAGUUCUGCACCUCAGUUUCUCAUCAGAUGUCUCCUUCCUUUUCCUUUAGCAUUAUUUGUAGGUUCUCAUCUCUCCAACCAUCAUUGUGUAAAUCACUUCUCAACCUCUGCCUGAGCAGCCCGGGCUGCAGUUGUAGCCAAUCUCUUGUUCACCUGGCUUCUGCCCAACUUCCAGUCAGUCUUUUUCCUCUCCAGCUCUUAGCAAGCUCUCGUCAUCCUCUUUCAUCUUCUUUCAUCCCUCAGCUUCCUACUUCUUUUGCACUUAAACUAUUUCGGGUGGAGUGCUAAAGAGUGCCAUUGAGGGAACAGGAAGAAUACCCAGUAUUAGUUCUGCUGGUCAGAGCUGGCUCCCAGCAGCAGCAGCUCUUCCCUGCAGUCCUUGUUGGAAGCAGUUCAACCCUUUCAUCUGACAUUAGAAAAUUUGUCUAGAACAGGCUCAUCACCUAAAACUAGUGUUUAAAUUGCGAGCGUUUUUCUGUGCUGGAGGGGAGAGAGGAAAAUAUAAUGCAUUCUAAACAUGUAGUACUUAGCUUUGCUUACACCAGCGAGGGAUUAACAAGUAGAAAUGAUCAAAAUCUACUAUACUUGCAAACUUACUGGAGGCUAAAUUAGUUUCAUCCACAUCCUCAGUUCAUGUAUUUGAGUCCCAUAGCCUAUUUAUAAGCAAACCAGUGAAAACUGUGUGAUCUUCAUAAUUCUUGUUUUACAAACUGUAAUGAAUAUGAACUCAAAGUCAGGUGAUUUUCCAUAGUGAAGAGGGGGCACACCAGUUAUAUUUUUCCAAGUUUUAUUCCAUAAUUUUCCUAUCCACAGAUAUUUCGUAUGUGUUGAAGUAGGUGUCCUGAAAUGCGUUCAUUGGAUAUUUACCUGUGGUUUUAGAGCUGCUUGUUACCAGCACGUCUGCCUGGCACAAAUAGCAGAUGCUUUUGUUCCAUAUCAGGACCUCACGAAUGAAGCUAUUCUUAUCUGUUUGAAAAACUUUCACCAGUUCAACCUGUCCUAGGAUGCAUUGCUUAUGCAGAAUGCUGUAUGGGCCCUCUCAAAGACAGAUGAAGGAUAUCUUGGUGACAGCUUUUGUUGCCCUAAUAUAGAGGUCUGUGGCUGGGAGGCACUUGAAAGGUAUCAGUGGGUUAUUUUUAAUCUCUGCAGACUGUUCUUAAUAAAAAAUCAUUUGUAAGGAGACAGGAAUGGCUUUAUUUCUAACCAUGCUCUGGGACACCACAGUGCUAAACUGCUUUCCUAAACACAUACAAGGACUUUAAAUUGAAUACAUUCCGUGAUAAAGGCAACAUAAAUGACUUGUGUACCUUCCCAAAACACUUUUUCCUUUAUCUAUCUUGAGUGACCACUGAACGAUUGAGUUAAGGAGGAAUUGCCAUUGAUUUGUUAUUUUCUUCCAUUUGUAUCCGUUCUACUCAGUGGCAGAUCUCUCACAGGAUGGCUUGCACAAGAGCACUUCCUUAAAGGAACGGUUCCUGAAGAGUAACAGUCAAGAUUUGCACUGAUGCAAACUCAUGAAGUAACUAAAAAAAUAAGGAAUACCGGUAAGGUUUGCUUUCCUUCCACAGCUCAGUUUUGUGACUUCUUUAUGAGGACAGUUAAGCAAAGCUUCCCUUUGCUAGGAUCAAACAGAUCCUUAUCAGUUUUAAAUGCAACACUUAGCAGCAGUUAGUGGAUUUAUCUUAUUAACUUGUCUGGCCCCUGUUAAUAAUGUUUUCACGACUGAUCUUACAUUGCAUAUUUGCAAAAAAAAAAAAAAAAAAAAAAAGAGAAAGAAAAAGAGAAAAAAAGAAAAGAAAAGAAAAUAAUGUUAGUACUACUAGUAGUUCUUAGCAACUGCAGCAUACAAAUACUUGCCACAACAUUUAGAAACCAUGAACCUGUGUCAUUUUGUAGCAGGGGAGGUCCCACAUGGGAUCAUUAGUCAUGUAGGUUUUCAGGUGUGUUGGGGGAAAUCUGAGAUGCUAAACUCUUCCAAUUCAGUCUCUGCUUUUCCACAGCUGUUGUCCCACAGGUGCUGGGUUGGUUCUGUAAAUCCACUUUACAUUCUAGUAGUAGGCAAUAAAAUGAUUAGUGACUUCUAUGCCUUACUUCUAGAAUAAUAGUGUUGCUCUGAAGAAUAAAGAACAAAACAGUGUAAACUUCUUUGCAUUUUUUCAUUACUUUUAUUUAUUUGUAGAGUGACAGUGUAUUGCACUGUUGCAAUAUUGCAGUGUAUUUGCAGUGCUUUGCAGACAAAUGUAGACACUGGUGUUCAAAAUCUGUCCUUAUUCUGACACUGUAAUAAAAUAACCAAAGUACACAUCUCAUUACAUAAGUGUUUUAAUUGUGAAGAUACAAUUGCUUGUUUAGUGCAACUAACGUGCUGUGUCAGACACGCUUUACCUUCUCAACUGACACGUUGGAGGUAGGGAAUAGUGUUACUUUAGCUCUUUCUGUUGAUCCUUCCAAAGCUGUUUCCUGGAUUCAUUUCAUCUUCCUGCUUUCUCUGCCAUCAUGAUUUCAUGA